rnacentral:rRNA from 1 species
UACAGAGGUCUCAAGCGUUGUUCGGAUUCAUUGGGCGUAAAGGGUGCGUAGGUGGCGGGGUAAGUCGGAUGUGAAAUCCCGGGGCUCAACCCCGGAACUGCAUUCGAUACUGCCGUGCUAGAGGACUGGAGAGGAGACUGGAAUUUACGGUGUAGCGGUGAAAUGCGUAGAUAUCGUAAGGAAGACCAGUGGCGAAGGCGGGUCUCUGGACAGUUCCUGACGCUGAGGCACGAAGGCCAGGGGAGCAAACGGG